GGGCGCUCGCGCCUCCACUCCCUGCUCUCAAAGGAGAGAUCAGCUGGCGCGCCGGACCCUCGCGGGGACUCUGGAGGCGAAAUCCAGGACAAAUGCAGGGUCAGGGUCUGGCCUCUUAUUUCCCCGCUGGGCCCGUUAUUCAACUUUCAGUUUGAAGUUUUUCGCUCAGAGGCAGGCGAUUAGCAGCUCAGAGGAAGGUAAAAUAACGCACUGUGUGAACCAAGCAUACAGGACAAUUCCAGUUUGGGACCUUGGAACCUUCUACGCCACCCUCUUCCACCAGGCCCCCAAGAAGUAGGGCUGUGACACGUGGCCAAGUCACUCCUCAGCUGAAUAUUCACUGAAGUCACUCCUCAGCCGAAAUACUGCUCAGAGCUGCUGCACGAUGAGUCUGGGGCCAAGGCUUUCUGCCCUUCCCAGGAUUCCAGGAGCCCCCAUGCACAGCACCUCGGGCUUGCCCAAAUGAUCCCCAAAACCAAGGGCAGAAAAUUUUUGGAAAAGGCCAAGUUCUGCUUUCCCAGAGCUAUCGGGCCUGCGAAACAGAGAGAAAAAAGUCAGAAGCAGGAGCUGGUAAUAGAACUAUUAUCCAUGUGUAUUAUUUUUUCGGUAGGGGAGCUAAAAUAAUACUAGGUUCCGCUCACGUAAAUCGGAUUAGCAACCCACAGAGGCGAAUUAGGCACUUGCUGUUUCUAAAGGUAUAAAGGUCAAAUAAGGUAUUUUGGAGGAAGCCUGACUACCAGGAAAAUAAAAGGGGGUGGGGGAAUUAUUCAGGAACAUGCUACUUUAUUUCCUGAAAAAAAAAAAAAAGGUGCUAUAGAAGUUGAUUGUCACUCAGAGUCAUUGCACCGCAAACAAGGAGGCAAUAAAACAUAUCCUACUCAUGGACACAGGGCUUCUGAAAUUAUUUCCUUUCCUAUCAAGUUUAAUUGAGAAGUUAACAAUUGUUUCUCUCAUUACUUAGAUUUCAAAAACAAAACAAAACAAAACUUCAAUGAGAUUUAAGUAGCUUUUAAAGAGGAGGAAAAGUUGAUAACUAUUGGAUGCACCCGAAGAAAAAAUAAAUAAAUAUCCUGUGAUGACCUCAAGGAUGUCUUGCAGCUUUAGAACUUCAUAACCUGAGAUGGCUGCCCUCUUGUGGUGGAAAUGAGUUCGAACGCUUGAAAGAAAGAAGUCCAUAAAUAAAUAAAUAAAUAAA